AAGUCGUAACAAGGUUUCCGUAGGUGAACCUGCGGAAGGAUCAUUAUUGAUUGGUCGAAAGACCUUAUCAGAUUCUACCACCUCUGUGAACCGUUGACCUCCGGGUCGAUAAUCAAACAUCAGUGUAAUGAACGUAAAUUAUAUAACGAAACAAAACUUUUAACAACGGAUCUCUUGGCUCUC
rnacentral:misc_RNA from 1 species